AUAUUUUUAUAAUUUGGUACUAAAUUCUAGCGCAUAUUAAGCUUUCUCUAACUCUUCUUCCAAGCUUUUCUCAACUCUGGAUGUCUCCUUUUCACAUCACUCCAGAUCCUUUGCAGGAAUGGGAGCUUGAUCUCAUGAAUGAAGUUUGUUCUAAUCUCUUUACCUGUCUCCUCGAUCCUUCUUUUUACCUGCUGUACCCCUUGUGUAGACCAGGAAUAAGGUAUUACUCCUUUUUCAAUACUGGCCUGAAUACGAUUAAAUAUAGUCCUUUGAUGACUUGCUGGUAGUAGUUGUAAAGACAAUAAUACUAGCACUAAGGCCUAUCCAGAAUGGGGGAAACCCUAGAGGCAUUUAUUUUAAAGCCAUGGUUAAAGAUAGUAGAAGUAGCCAAUAAAGGGACGUAUUAGUACCUCAAAGACUUUUUCAAGUUUGGCAUUUAGAGUACUUCUGGAAGUAUGAAAGGACUUCUAACUUAACCAUGAUGGUUAUAUUGUUGAACUCUUGGAAGAUGGCCAGGGCAUUACAUAGAUUAAAAGGCAAACUUAAAAUUCAUAAUGGACAUUCUUUGUUUAAAGUCUUCUAUUCACAUUAACCUCCUACUUAUUCCUCUUCUGUUCAUCACCCUAACCCUUAUGUCCAGCUUGGUAAAGUUUUUUUCCUUUUAGCUGUCCUAAAGUUAAAUGCAAAGUACAAUAGUUUUUGAUGGGGUAGUCAUAAGGGCAGAUGUUUUAAAAAGGACCCCAACAAAGUCAGUGAAUGGAUGUUUAUUGUCUAGUACAGUGGACACCACAACCAAAUGUUGAUCUAGUGGCCUUCUAGAAACUUUCUUCUAUUCAUCACCCUCACCCUUAUUGCACCCUUAAGCAUUUAUAAAAAUUGAAAUCUCUAAAAACUAUUUAUAUGUGUUUGACAGAUUCAGACAUAUUCUGUUCUAUGCAUCAAUGAAUACUUUUUUUAUCAAUAAUUAUUUAUCUGAAACAUUUGUAAUAGCAUAUCUAUAUGGGACUCUAGGAGCAGCCCCCUCUUUCUUCUUCAGCCAUGUUUAAUCUAUUUUCCAAAUAUGCUUGCCCUCUUGCUGCUUUUGCUAAUGCCAGAGUUUUUGGUGUAUGUAAAUGAUGGUUGGAUUACAAACUGUAAAAAGUGUUUGCAGUUUUUAUUUUCAAAGAGACUUUCAUUUCCAAUAUCAUAAUGUCUUUCUGCCAUAAAUUGUAUAUAAUUUCUGAGCAGCUCCUUUUACAGUAUGAUAGGCCAGCAUUAGUGAAGAAAUGUAAAGGCCCCCCAUGGCCAUGCCUGUCUCUAAUGCCCUCAGCCCUGCUCUCGCUAUUCCUCUGGUUUAUCUCCUGCCUAUGCCACUGCCCCUGAUCUUUUGCUCCCGCCACAUACUCACCAGGAACCACCGGCUGGUCCUGGCUCAUAGUGCUGGCUGUUGAUCCUGAAUCUGCUGGCCUCUGUUGCUGGACUACUGAUGAAACAGUGUUCCUAGUCCGGCUCCCUCAGCUUCCUGGGCUGUCGUGGAGUUACUGGUCCUGCACCACUGUUGCUGGGUCCCUCACCUGGGUUACUAUCCUGCUCUGUGGCUGAGGCUGCACUUUCCUCGCAGUCUGACUGUUCCUGCUCCUGUGGCCUCUGUGCUUCAUGUCGAGGGGUUAUGCCCUGAGCGGGGGGUCAGCCCCCCUUCAGGCUUCUCCUGGUCUCCUCCAUUGGCCUGGUCUGCCUUGUGCUGCGCCAGCCGCCUUCUGUGUGUUGAGUGCACUCAGCUGCUCGCCCCCCCACUCCUCACAGUGUUCUCUCCUUAGCCAGCUCAUCAGGUCCCGCAGCUCAGCUGCCAUGAUGCGCACAACACUGCUCCAAGAUGGCGCCGCUUCUCCCCUACGCUGCCCCUGUGUUUCCUCUCCCUACCUCUGAUGUCAUUUCCUGUCUCCUCCUAACCCUGUCACUACCCUCCUCCCUUCAUUACGGGCCGUCAGGAGUCCUUAUUAGCCACAUUUGUGAUGUCUUUUGGGUGCACCUAUUCCUUUUAUUUACCUCCUUUUUCUCUUAAUUAGGGGCAUCAACAAAGUCUUCCCUUGGGAGCAGAAGUACAUUUUUACAAACUCCCCUUUCCAUAUUUGUUUCUUAGCCUUUCCUUUUACUUGAAGCACUAAUGACCCUGAACUGCCAAAAUAACUCCAUUCAGGGCCAUGUCUGCUAUUUGAACCUCCCCAGAGCCCUUUGCAUUUGUGAAUGCCACUCUUUUAAUCUAGCUGCCUCUGCCAGGUCAUUGUACCUUAGACCAUGCCGUCCUCCACUGAAAGCUGGGUAGAAGGUUCCCCAUUUUAAGGAAAUGCCUGGGCACUGGCUGAGUCGCUUUCCGCUCUUUUAGAGCCUUACUGAUGGCUGACCUGUGGUUGCCAAUCCGUUCCCUGAGGAUUGUAAUUGUCUUGCCCACAUAAUAUAUUCCACAUGGACAUACAAUGAUAUAAACCACAAAAGAUUAAGUGCAUGUAAGCCUUUGUCGAAUUUUGUAUCUUUUGCCCGUAUAUGGAUGGGGAAAGUCAAUACCAGUCAGCAUACAUCGGCAUGUUACACAUCCAGGACAUUUAAAACAUCCUGGCCUUAAUUGUGUUUGAUGAAGAGAAAGAGAUUCGUCCAUAUUUACCAUAGACCAAUUAUUUUUUAUGAUUGAUGACUUUAUUGGCCGCUUAACUGUAUGUAGUGGUAAAUACUAGAGGAGGUUCUUUGGAGGUUACUGCAGGACGAGAUUGCAAUAAAUCUUCCUGUCUGUAUCCAAGAGCUUUGGUAAGUUGAUCAAAUAGUGUCUGUUUGUUGUAUCCCCUGAGUAGGAAUCUAUCAAAGGCUUCCUGUAGUUUGUCUUGUGCGGUCAUAGGGUCACUAUUAUUCCUGAUGAUACGUAAGAUCUGAGAUUAGGGGAUCCCCCUGAUGGUGGCUGGUGGGUGAAAACUGGCUGCAUGUAAAAUCGUGUUUCUGUCUGUAGGAUUGGGAAAUAAACGUGUGCCCAGUUUGUCUCCUGCUCUGAAAAUAUGGAGAUCAAGAAAGUCAGACAUCUGGGUCGGAUGUCAUGGUUGGAUAUCAAUAUAAUGUCAUUUUGAACAAUCUAUAUCCUUAAAGAGAGAAGAGAGAAAAGAGAGAAGAAGGAAGAGAGAAGUGGUCCCAUUCUUGAUAAAUAGUGGGGCCAAAGGGUGAAUAAGAAAGACAUAACAAGAAAAUAAAAAUAAGAGAAAAAAAAAAAAAAAAUUAAACUUGACGGUUUCUUUAUAUUCAAAAUUGGUCAUUUGAACUUAAUAGUAUGGUGUAGCCUUUGAGGUCCCAUAUUAAAAAUAAAACUCAAUAAGGUCAGCAUCUGUGGGAGGACCGUUUGUAUUCAGCCCCAAUAAAGUUUACCUUGAUUCUUA